GAUGAACGCUAGCGGCAGGCCUAACACAUGCAAGUCGAGGGGUAGCAGGAUUAAGCUUGCUUAAUUGCUGACGACCGGCGCACGGGUGCGUAACGCGUAUGCAACCUACCUUAUACUGGGGUAUAGCCCGGAGAAAUUCGGAUUAAUCCCCCAUAGUACUAAUGAAUCGCAUGGUUUAUUAGUUAAAGCAUUGCGGUAUAAGAUGGGCAUGCGUCCUAUUAGCUAGAUGGUGAGGUAACGGCUCACCAUGGCUACGAUAGGUAGGGGGCCUGAGAGGGUGGUCACCGACACAGGGACUGAGCCACGGACCAGAGUACUACGGGGCGGAGCAGUGAGGAAAAUGGGUCAAUGGGCGCAAGCCUGAAGCAGCCAUGCCGCGUGCAGGAAGAAUGCCCUAUGGGUUGGAUACUGCUUUUAUGUGGGAAUACACCUCUUGACGUGUAGAGAGCUGAAGGUACAAAAUGAAUAAGCACCGGCUAACUCCGUGCCAGCCGCCGCGGUAA
rnacentral:rRNA from 1 species